GGGGGUGCACCGGUUUCGACGGGGUCGAUGGGGCGCACACUGCGAGCAGAGGAUUCUCGUUGGCCUCUAUAAAAACGAGAAAAUUAAAAUUAAACGCUAACGAUAACGUAGCACUUCAGGCUGCCUAAGCGCGCCUGCGUUCCUCAUACAGUCACCCGGGCCGUGUGAUGUGAGCGCCAGUGAUCCGGGCCUUGCACAGGGGCAGGUAAAAUGUGCCAACGUUUGAACGAAAGCUUUGCCGUUUAGAUGUAUUGAUGAAGCUACCUUUCAGAUUACUCCGUUUGUCGAGGAAUUUAAAAGGGAAUUUUAAUAGGCAGACUACGCUCGUAGACGUGGGCGAGGAUUCGGUUCCGGACGUGGGUUCGACUCCCUCCACCUCCACCA
rnacentral:tmRNA from 1 species